CUGGGUGUAGCGCAGCUUGGUAGCGCACCAGAAUGGGGUUCUGGUGGUCGGAGGUUCAAAUCCUCUCACCCAGA
rfam:Clostridium halophilum strain M1 genome assembly, contig: G325DRAFT_scaffold00015.15